CACGGGGGGCGCAAGCGUUGUUCGGAAUCACUGGGCGUAAAGCGCACGUAGGCGGCUUACUAAGUCAGGGGUGAAAUCCUGGAGCUCAACUCCAGAACUGCCUUUGAUACUGGUAAGCUCGAGUCCGGGAGAGGUGAGUGGAACUGCGAGUGUAGAGGUGAAAUUCGUAGAUAUUCGCAAGAACACCAGUGGCGAAGGCGGCUCACUGGCCCGGUACUGACGCUGAGGUGCGAAAGCGUGGGGAGCAAACAGG
rnacentral:rRNA from 1 species